AAGGAGGAAGGAAACACAGUUACUAGUCUAGUGCCUCCUGCAAGCCCAAAGUCUUCACCAACAUUCAGGUUCCACCCAGAGACCACAUUCUCACUGCCUUCUGUGGGUCACCUCCCCCUGUCCUUUUGGGAAUCUGUAAGUGCUGUCUCUUCUGCUAUUUUCACUUCAGUCCACAAAGAGAGGAGGAAGGGAGGGGAGGAGCUGAGAUCGGCAGUUAAGUACAGUGUAAGAGGUGUAGGUAUGAGCUGGAAGGCUGUGCCUGGGGUUCAGAUGCGAGCCUGUGCUUCUCAGGAGAAUUGCUGAUGGAUGCCCCUGACUGGGUUGGGAGAAGCUGGGCAGGAGUAGAGGGAAAGAACUGAUGCGACCCAGGUGGUUACAGGAAGGAGGUAAAGGAAGCUAGAAGGUUAAGGGGGGCGGAGUCACUUUCUAUGAGCAACAAAGGGAAAUCUGGGAGUGCAGGAACCUGGAAGGUCAUGUGGUAUAGAAAGGGAAGAGAGACAACUCUGAAAACUGUAAAACAAGCUGCCGCUGUGGUCUGAAUCAAGUCCUUUAGAAGCUCGCUGAGAAAUCUUCUCUUCCUUCCCAAGUCUCCUUCAAUCCCAUAGAGAACCAACACAAGAGGGAAAGAGGAAGAGUCGGAGCAGAGUCUCUUCCUAAAAGCCACCAUCUGUGGGCGUGAGUGUCUUUGGUCCACGGAUUUCUCCUAAGACCCAUGAUGAUUUUGAUGAGAGAGUAUUGAUUUUAUGGUUCAUUGGUAAGUAUAUUAACAUACUUCCUCCUACACCAUUUUGGGGAGUACAUUUUCUUUCUCUUUGGAGAGAAUCCGUUUUCAAUGUUUUUUCUUAGGAACUGUUUCUUGUGAUAAAACCCAAUAGCUAGAGAUCACCAGAAACAAAUCAAUAUUUCAACAAAGGCAGAUCUACUUUAUUCUCUGCCUGUCUCCUCCCUCCUGGGUGAUUGUGUUAAACCAACGG
rnacentral:lncRNA from 1 species